AUGUCAACUCUGUUGCGUGUAUGGUUUGGAGUAAAGACCUGGUCGAUCUUCAGGAGCCCACAACUGGGGAAGAUCUACUUGUUCGAGCUGUCCACGUCAAAGCAUGAGCAUCGCUGCGAAAAGCAGUUAUCAUCAGCCUGAUUACCGUUGCUGGCAUCAUGAUCUUUACAGUAUCUGUUUUUGCUAUCUGCAGAUGGAGAGCUAAGAAAACAGGAAACUUGAGGGAAUUUUCAGAACUCCUUGGCUUGGUAGAGACAUCUAAAGAAUCGGCCGAAAUGAUGCAAGGAGAAGCAUGGAAAGAGCAGCUGAAGCACGACGGUUCACAGGAAUUGACCCUUUUCAGUUUUGAUAGCAUACUACUUGCCACAGACAAGUUUAGCAUGACGAGUAA